rnacentral:rRNA from 1 species
GCGAGAGGUGCUUGCACCUUUCAAGCGAGUGGCGAACGGGUGAGUAACACGUGGAUAACCUGCCUCAAGGCUGGGGAUAACAUUUGGAAACAGAUGCUAAUACCGAAUAAAACUUAGUAUCGCAUGAUAUCAAGUUAAAAGGCGCUACGGCGUCACCUAGAGAUGGAUCCGCGGUGCAUUAGUUAGUUGGUGGGGUAAAGGCUUACCAAGACAAUGAUGCAUAGCCGAGUUGAGAGACUGAUCGGCCACAUUGGGACUGAGACACGGCCCAAACUCCUACGGGAGGCUGCAGUAGGGAAUCUUCCACAAUGGGCGCAAGCCUGAUGGAGCAACGCCGCGUGUGUGAUGAAGGCUUUCGGGUCGUAAAGCACUGUUGUAUGGGAAGAAAUGCUAAAAUAGGGAAUGAUUUUAGUUUGACGGUACCAUACCAGAAAGGGACGGCUAAAUACGUGCCAGCAGCCGCGGUAAUACGUAUGUCCCGAGCGUUAUCCGGAUUUAUUGGGCGUAAAGCGAGCGCAGACGGUUGAUUAAGUCUGAUGUGAAAGCCCGGAGCUCAACUCCGGAAUGGCAUUGGAAACUGGUUAACUUGAGUGUUGUAGAGGUAAGUGGAACUCCAUGUGUAGCGGUGGAAUGCGUAGAUAUAUGGAAGAACACCAGUGGCGAAGGCGGCUUACUGGACAACAACUGACGUUGAGGCUCGAAAGUGUGGGUAGCAAACAGGAUUAGAUACCCUGGUAGUCCACACCGUAAACGAUGAAUACUAGGUGUUAGGAGGUUUCCGCCUCUUAGUGCCGAAGCUAACGCAUUAAGUAUUCCGCCUGGGGAGUACGACCGCAAGGUUGAAACUCAAAGGAAUUGACGGGGACCCGCACAAGCGGUGGAGCAUGUGGUUUAAUUCGAAGCAACGCGAAGAACCUUACCAGGUCUUGACAUCCUUUGAAGCUUUUAGAGAUAGAAGUGUUCUCUUCGGAGACAAAGUGACAGGUGGUGCAUGGUCGUCGUCAGCUCGUGUCGUGAGAUGUUGGGUUAAGUCCCGCAACGAGCGCAACCCUUAUUGUUAGUUGCCAGCAUUCAGUUGGGCACUCUAGCGAGACUGCCGGUGACAAACCGGAGGAAGGCGGGGACGACGUCAGAUCAUCAUGCCCCUUAUGACCUGGGCUACACACGUGCUACAAUGGCGUAUACAACGAGUUGCCAACCUGCGAAGGUGAGCUAAUCUCUUAAAGUACGUCUCAGUUCGGACUGCAGUCUGCAACUCGACUGCACGAAGUCGGAAUCGCUAGUAAUCGCGGAUCAGCACGCCGCGGUGAAUACGUUCCCGGGU